rnacentral:rRNA from 1 species
UACGUAGGGUCCGAGCGUUGUCCGGAAUUACUGGGCGUAAAGAGCUCGUAGGUGGUUUGUCGCGUUGUUCGUGAAAUCUCACAACUCAAUUGUGAGCGUGCGAGCGAUACGGGCAGACUGGAGUACUGCAGGGGAGACUGGAAUUCCUGGUGUAGCGGUGGAAUGCGCAGAUAUCAGGAGGAACACCGGUGGCGAAGGCGGGUCUCUGGGCAGUAACUGACGCUGAGGAGCGAAAGCGUGGGGAGCGAACAGGAUUAGAUACCCUGGUAGUCCACGCCGUAAACGGUGGGUACUAGGUGUGGGUUUCCUUCCUUGGGAUCCGUGCCGUAGCUAACGCAUUAAGUACCCCGCCUGGGGAGUACGGCCGCAAGGCUA